AUUAAGGCCACGCCCCUUUUCCGCAUUCUAGUGCAGCCCUGGUGACGCCUCCUGUGGCUCAGUCACAUAGCUGUGUGGUACAUGACUGGAGGCAUAUCACUGUCCUCGCCUGGAUCACGCCAAUGUGACCCCAACCCCACCUCCCUCCCCACCCCAUGAUGUCCGAAAAAACCCAACAAAGAAAAUUGGCUGGGACCAAGAGAAAGUUCACAGACUAUCAUCAGUGGAACAGUGCUGGUGUUGGUACUGGAGCAACCGACACCAAAAAGAAGAAAAUAAAUAAUGGCACUAACCCUCAGACAACCACUUCUGGGGGGUUGCCAUUCACCUGAGGAUAAACAACAGAACCGAGCUCAGCUGAAAGAGGAAAAGAAGGCAAGCCACCAACAUCAGCAAGCCCUAAGGAGGCAGCUAGAGGCCCAGGAUCAUACCAUACGAAUCCUUAAGUGUCAGAAAACUGAACUGGAAACAGUGCUCCAUGACAGCCAGGAUGCUGCCAGGAAAUUUGAAGAAGAUUCCAAGGAUCUGGCAGGCCGCCUGCAUCAUUCCUGGUACUUUGCAGGAGAGUUACAGCGGGCUCUCUCUGCUAUGUCCGCAGAGCACAAGAGGGUGGACAGGUACAUCGAGGAGUUAACAAAGGAGAGGGAAGCCCUGAGUCUGGAGCUGCACAGGAACAUGUAGGAUGGGGGAGCGGGGGAUGGGAGGUCUGAGAGCCCUUAGCAUGGGUGGUGUGCUGGGAGGUGGUGGGUACAGGUGAGCAUGCUAGGGGGUCAUACAGGUUUACAUGUGUGCGCAGGGAAGCUCCAGUGAUGGCUGUGCCACUGACUCAUGGGGUAGCCUCAGGCAACUCACGUCUUCUCUCUGGCCUGCCACCUGGGACUUUUAAUUCCUGGGGUCUCUUCCAAUGCCACGGUUCUGUGGUUGUGGGGCGAGGGUAGAGGGUCGAUCACCAAAGCGGUCCUUUCUGUUCUUUGCUCAUUCCUUUCUCUACUGCCUCUGGCCAUAGCAUAACCAAUGAGGAGCUGAAGGAGAAAAAUGCCGAACUACAAGAAAAACUUCGACUGGUAGAAACUGAAAAGUCUGAGAUCCAGCUCCACAUCAAGGAGCUAAAAAGGAAACUGGAGACGGACAAAAUCCCGCUGCCACAGGUUCAAACCAACACUUUGCAGGAGAAGAUGUGGAGGCAGCAGGAGGAGCUACGGGAUCAGGAGAAGCUACGGAAGCACGAGGAGAAGAUGUGGAGACAGGAGCAGAGGCUGCGGGACCAGGAGAAGGAGC